GUAGAGAAUAAAUUCUUACCCGAUUCUUGUAAGCCCACAUGUUACUGCCUAAGGGAGUUGUGUAAUAACUGCUCAUUACCCAGUUGAGGAAGAUUAAAGGCAGCCCCCAAACUGGUCCUCAGUGGAUUAAAGAAUUGAAUGGGGGUACAAGAGUUGUAUGGCGCAUCUGAACUCGUGCGUGAAAAAAUUGAUGCAUGGAACGUAAAAAGUUGGCCACCCCUGAUCUAACGGAUGAAGAGUGGUUAGAAUCUGGAAUGCACUGACCGAACAGAUUUCCACAACCCAUAAUACUUUGUUUUCCUGUGGAAGUUUAUUGGAUAGCAGAUUCCGCCUGAUUUUUCCAUAUUGCAAAAUUAAGAAGCUCAAUCGCAAACUGCAGUGCCCUCUAGUGGCAAAUGUGAGAGCUGCUAACUUGAAAUGCCAGCAGUCUAUAACAUCUGAACAUAGUUGCCGAAAGUGCACUGAGAGCUUGCAUCAUCAUUCUGAUCAGCGGGAAAGCUCUGUUGCAAGGAUUAGGCAUCCUUUAAGAUUACUUGAAACUUUGAAAUUGAUAAAUAAACAAAUUGAAGUGGACUUUCACAAUGAAUUCAACUGAAAUGCCAUUUCUUAGUCAUUGAAGGGAAGAUGUAGGCAUUGAAGAUUCAGAGCAAAGUCUAAGAUUAAAAAAAUCCAAGUGCUUGAAAGACCAUCUUGGUUUGUACAUUGCAGAAGAUGCAGUAAGAAUUUUAUUAAAAAUGAAUUGAAUUAAUAGACAUUGGAUUGCCUCCAGCAGAUUUUGCAAGAACAAGAGCAAAACCGGUACCAUAGGUAAGUGCAUCAGCAAGUACUGAAGGACCCCCAAAAGACUAAACGAACAUAACAUAAACGUUCAUGACAAGAAAUGGCAAAAUCAGCAGCUGAAAUGCCUCAGGCUGCAGGGAAAAGCAAGUCAGCUGCAAACAUAAUGUUCCACAUGAAAGGACAGUGUUAAUCUUCAUCCGAGUUACGGAAGGAAAACUCCUGGUGGAAAAAUCUGAAUUCAGACACAAGGCAAUACCUUUGGUAUCACAGCUUUGUAAUUUGGUUUCAAUACCAAUUGUAGCUCAAAUUGGAAACACAGGAUUGUAUGUAAUGAAUGAAUAUCAUUCAAGAUCCGAGCUCUAAGAUUCAUUAAUUUUGCAUAAUAAUUUAAUUCAAAUUAAUUACAAUAACGUUUUGUCAAGGCUUAUCAUUUAAAAAAAAUUCA